rnacentral:snRNA from 1 species
GUGCUCGCUUUGGUAGCUCAUACACUAAACUGGAAUGAUGCAGAGAAGAUUAGCAUGGCCCCUGCACAAGGAUGACACAUAAAUUCGUGAAGCGUUCCAUAUUUUU